UGCCCUGUAGCGUAGUGGUUAGAGCGCUCGCCUCGUAAGCGAAAGGACCCGGGUUCGAUUCCUGGGAGGGGCAA